GCACAGGGGGCCCCUGACGCCGCGCUGGGCGUCCCGAGUGCUGGGCGUCAGAUCUGCUCCUUCACCCUCCUCCGGCGGCAGCGCUCCUCCCCACCCCGUCCCCAGCAAUCGCCCACCGACCUGUGUCCCUUUCUCCGCCGAGACGCCUUGGGAUCGGCUCCCUCCUUCCCCUCACGGACCCUCCCCCAGGUCUGGCCUCCGCUGCUCCCACCUCCUGAGGUUUUUCUCACGUUUUGAUUUUAGGGCAGGCCUCCCAGCAUGAAAGCCUGACCUAAAAUCAAGGCUGAUGAUAGUUCCUGCUCCCAAACAAUCCUUCCCGUCAGCCAGACCUGAGCCUCCUGAGAGCCCUCGCGACGCCCGCGGGGGAUGUGGGCGAGAAAGCGCCUCACGCUCCUCCCGCGCAAAACGCCGGAGAGGCCGGAAAACGCAGCCGUCGAGGGGCUGUUUAGGGAAGGCCGCCUGCCACAGAAGCAAGUUCUGCAUGACUCCAGCAGAAAGGGGAUUUCCUGGAAGGACAUCGAGCACCUCACAAAGUCGAGAGGAAGGUGGAGAACCAGGCUCAGGCAGGAACCAAGGCCCAAGGACAGCCCAGGGCCUCCCGGGAAACGACCUACCUGGUGCAGAGCUCUGCAACACACACUCGCCAUCGUGCCCCGGGGUACUCCAUGACUCCACUGCCCCAUGAAGCCCUCGGGAGGGCAACCCCCAGGCUGUGUGCCUGCUGACCCAGGGUGGCAGCAUGUCAGGCUGUAUCUUUGAUUUCAGGGACCAGAGGCCAGGGCAUCUGUGUGGCCACUGAAGGAAGAGGAGAAGCCUCAGGCUGAGUGCCCCUCACCCCACUCUGAGCUUAGGCUCAGAGAGGAACCCUUCCUUCCCUCCUCUUUUUCUUCCCUCCUCUUCUCCCUCUCUCCUUCCCUUCUCCAAAAUUAAAUACUUUUCUCUAAUCAUAUUAAUCAUAUAUAGUUAUUGGCCGG
rnacentral:lncRNA from 1 species